CAUCAAACCUGUUCCGUAUCAAGGCCUUCAAUUAUCAUGAUUUAUAUCGAUUUAUUCGACUUUGAUAUAAAUCAUGAUAAUUGAAGGCCUUGAUACGGAACAGGUUUGAU